rnacentral:lncRNA from 1 species
CCCUCUAAUCCAUCGUAUAUGAUCCAUUAGCAGAUAAUAUUAUUUUAUGAGGAGGGAUCCGUUGACUCUAGGAGUAAGUCUCCAUUGACUUACUCCUCUUAAUAACUCGAUAUCGGCAUUACAUUUAUUCAAUACAACAGUUGAAUUCAAAGAUCUCAUUGAGUAGAUCAACCCCACAAAUUUUUAUAAAAAUUCGAAAAAUGUAGUUAUGUAUUUAGACUAUUGAAAUUCAUCGGUUUUUUUAAUAGUUGGUCGGACGUUCAAUUGAAGUUAUCAGAAAAAAUAUCAAAUGGUUCUGAAUUUUUAUAAAAAUUUGUGGAGUUGAUCUACUCAAUGAGAUUUUUGAAUUCAACGGUUGGAUUGAAGAAAUGUAAUGCCGAUAUCGAGUUAUAAAGCGGAGUAAGUUAAUGGAGACUUACUCCUGGAGUCAACGGAUCCCUCUUCUUAUUUUAUAUGUUUAACAAAAUACGUGGUAUAUGAUUAGGAACAUCCCCUCUAAUAUGUUGAUCCAUCUUCUUCUUUAAUAAAUAAUUUUAUUCAAUUAUAUUAAAUUAAUUAAAUUGUGGUUAUGUAGAAGUAUUUCUUAAUUUAUUAAGGAAUUGUAAAUUUCAUUUAAUAAAUGUGUUUGGUUUUUGUAAGAAUACAAAUAGUAAAACAUCAUCAACUGUGUGUUGGUUUUUUAAAAGAACCAAAAUUUUAGGAUGAAAUUAAUAAGUUAAAAGAACCAGAUAUUAGAGAUCGAGAGCAAUAUCUCAUCAUUAUCCCCUCUUUAUACCACUGCAUAUGACCGUUGGUGUUGCAAUCAAUUAAAAUUACACAGAACAUUAUAAUAACAUUGUAGCAUCGUUCACUUUAAUUUAUAACUUAUCUUGGCAACUCUAGUCGAGGCACUCUUUGGAAAACUCUUUUUUGUCCUUGCUGACUAAUAAUCAAAAUUUUCUGCAUAAUUUGGUAAAGUUGUUUGUGAUAGAUGGUGAAUCACUUGCUAUUGGGAGACAUCGGUGAUUGUAGAGCUUAUUUUUUGGAAUAAAAUUGGAAGAGUGAUAAUGAAAUUAAUAAUGCAUCAGUUGUUAGUAACAUAGUGCGGCUAGAUGAAUCCAUU